CGACGGUACAGUCACUGUUUUUCUCUAAGUAUACCAUCACUGUGUGCCUUUUGAUAACGUGUAACGUGUUAUGGGCCCAGGUUCACGCAUCGACUGAUUAGAAAGAUGGCAAACAACGUAAGUGAAAAUCAUCUCAAAGAUGUCAGCCAUGUCCCUAAGUUUGAUGGAAGCAACUUUCGUGAGUGGAGCUACGAACUUCGCAUGAUUCUUCAACAACUAGGUUUACUUUCAAUCAUGGAAGCAAGAGUUGGACACACAAUCCCCACAGAGAUAACUAAUGACAGAGGGCAAGUUACCAACACCGCCCAAAUUGAAGCAUGGAAUCUGAAAGAUGUCACGUCCAGAAACUACAUCUUUGCCACACUCACUAAACCAAUGAAGGAGAGUCUUUAUUCGUGUAACACUGC